UACGUAGGGGGCAAGCGUUGUCCGGAAUCAUUGGGCGUAAAGAGCGUGUAGGCGGUUAGGUAAGUCGGCUGUGAAAGUCCAGGGCUCAACCCUGGGAUGCCGGUCGAUACUGCCGGACUAGAGUUCGGAAGAGGCGAGUGGAAUUCCCGGUGUAGCGGUGAAAUGCGCAGAUAUCGGGAGGAACACCUAUGGCGAAGGCAGCUCGCUGGGACGUUACUGACGCUGAGACGCGAAAGCGUGGGGAGCAAACAGG
rnacentral:rRNA from 1 species